CCUGAUGCAGCGACGCCGCGUGAGGGAUGACGGCCUUCGGGUUGUAAACCUCUUUCAGCAGGGAAGAAGCGCAAGUGACGGUACCUGCAGAAGAAGCACCGGCUAACUACGUGCCAGCAGCCGCGGUAAUACGUAGGGUGCGAGCGUUGUCCGGAAUUAUUGGGCGUAAAGAGCUCGUAGGCGGCCUGUCGCGUCGGAUGUGAAAGCCCGGGGCUUAACCCCGGGUCUGCAUUCGAUACGGGCAGGCUAGAGUGUGGUAGGGGAGAUCGGAAUUCCUGGUGUAGCGGUGAAAUGCGCAGAUAUCAGGAGGAACACCGGUGGCGAAGGCGGAUCUCUGGGCCAUUACUGACGCUGAGGAGCGAAAGCGUGGGGAGCGAACAGGAUUAGAUACCCUGGUAGUCCACGCCGUAAACGUUGGGAACUAGGUGUUGGCGACAUUCCACGUCGUCGGUGCCGCAGCUAACGCAUUAAGUUCCCCGCCUGGGGAGUACGGCCGCAAGGCUAAAACUCAAAGGAAUUGACGGGGGCCCGCACAAGCAGCGGAGCAUGUGGCUUAAUUCGACGCAACGCGAAGAACCUUACCAAGGCUUGACAUAUGCCGGAAAACCAUGGAGACAUGGUCCCCCUUGUGG
rnacentral:rRNA from 1 species